UCCGUGCUGGCGAAAAAGGGUUCUGACUUCACAGCCUUCCCCGCCUAAACACACACUCUUAACUCCUUCUUUCCCAGAUUCUGAAAUAGUUACGCCUCCGGUUUGGGCGAAAUCUUUUCUUCCAUUUGUGCCAGUUCGAUUAUGCAAAUGUCAUUCAUGAUCAACCACGAGAUAUUUUGGCUGUUUUUACAGACGUAUGUUGGUUGCUGUAAUUUUCUUUUUGUGUCUCCUAUUUUAUGAGCCUACCACACAUUUUCAGACGUUCAGAGGAACACAUUUAAGAAACAGAACUUUCCGUAGGAUGGGAACAUGAAGGUGGGCUGUGAGUCUUGCCUUGGAGUGCCCUCCAGCCACGUCGGCUGCUGCCUCGUCCUGCUGCACGGAGCAGCCCUCACCUUUUGCCGGGGCUCUUUCACUCUUCCUCAUGUGCGACCCAACCCUCGCAGGUCCUGCGUCCUUCUUACUGAGCUGCUCCCCCAGUUGACCAUCCACGCUUGCUUCCCAAGGAAAGACGAAGGCAUCAUCGGUACCUCGUGUGUCUGAGACACGCCUUUCUCCUCCGCGAUUCCUUUUGCUUAGCGAUGAAACGCUGAUGGAGCACCGGGUCAAACCACGAACACGAACCUCCUAGUUUGUUCCUUGUUUGCUGAGUGUAACAGUCCAGCUUAAGGGAGCCUCCACACUUUGAAGGUGUUUCUGCAUUUUCCUUCUAGGCUGCGCUCUUCGGAGGAAGCUGGAUGUCAUUCUUAUUCACAUUAUCUUGGAGUGAACACGCGAGCUUUUUCCCUCUCUCCCUGCUACUUUAAUUCCUAGUGUUUGGAGGUAACAGCAGUGCCCCCUCCGUGUAAGUAAUUUUAAACACAUUCAUCUCCAUAAGUUUAAUCUUGAAAUCCUUAUGUUUCCUUUUAAAAUUUUUUCUCGUUGAUUUCAUUGAUGACGUCCAUCGCCUCUGUUUUCUUUCUUUAUCUGUUGUUGGUUAGAGUUUGUAGAGUAAUCAAAUCUUAAAAGUAGGUUCAACAGUAACGUGCUAUUUCGUUAAUGUUUUGUUUUCUGUUGGGAGUUCUCCUUGAUGUUGUCUCCCAGCUUGUCUAUUUAUUUCUUUAAAUUCCUGCCAACGUAUUUUUUAUUACUCCAUGAAUUUUAUUACAUUUAUAGUUUAACGACAAUCAUCACAGUCCAAUUUUAUAGCAUUUCCAUCCCAAACCUUCAGUGCACCCCCCAUCCCUCCAACCUGUCUCUUUUGGAAACCAUAAGUUUUUUGGAGUCAGUGAGUCAGUAUCUGUUCUACAAAGAAGUUCAUUGUGUCCUUUCUUCAGAUUUCACACGUCAGUGAUAGCAUAUGAUAUCGGUGUCUCACCAUCUAACUUCACUUAGCAUAAUCUCUAGGUCCACCCAUGUUGCUGCAAAUGCCAUCAUUUCUUUCCUCUUAAGGGCUGAGUAAUAUUCCAUUGUGUACAUGUACCACAUCAAGAGAUCCACUCCUCUGUCGAUGGACAUUGAGGUUGUUUCCAUGUCUUGGCCAUUGAAAAUAGUGCUGCCAUGAACAUCUGAGUACAUGUGUCUUUGCGAGUCAUGGUUUUCUCUGGAUAGAUGCCCAGGAGUGGGAUUGCUGGGUCAAAUGGCAGUUCUCUUUUUAGUUUUCUGAGGCAUCUCCAUACUGUUUUCCACAGUGGUUGCACACAUUUACAAUCCCACCAACAGUGUAAGAGGGUUUCCUUUUCUCCACACCCUCUCCAGCACUGAUUGUUUGUAGACUUUGUGAUGAUGGCCAUUCUGGCUGGUGUAAGGUGGUACCUCUGAGUGGUUUUGAUUUGCAUUUCUCUGGUAAUGAGUGAUGUUGAACAUCUUUUCAUGUGUUUUUGGCCGUCUCUGUGUCUUCUUUGGAGAAUGGUCUGUUUAGGUCUUCUGCCUGCCAACAUAUUUUUAACCUCCAAGAGUGGUUGUUUUUUCUUCUCCAAAUGUUGCCUGUUUGAGUUCUGAGAGUAUCGUAGGUUUUUGAGAUGUUCUUCUGCAUUAACUUUUUACUCUGAGUUUUAUAACUUUCUCAUUUUUAUUUGGAUCUCUCUUUCUUGUUGUAAGUUUUCCUACACUAUCUGGGGACCCUGAUGAGAUAACAUGAAGUUAGACAACAAAGCACAUUCCAGCCCGUAGUUGAAAUGUGUGCAUUUCCUACUUCAGGACUUUAGAAGUUUAUUUGGAAGCUACAAAUUCACACACUCUAAGAAUUAACCAGAAUACCCAUUUUGUUGUCUGUUUAAGAACAAGCUGUCCUGCAUCGCCUGGCAUCCUGGAGUUUGAUUGUAUUGUGGCAGGCAGGUCGUGAGGCUGUCUCCACGCAACUUCAAUACAUUUGGCUACAAUAUAAAUCACCUGUUGAAUUAGCUGUUCCUUUACCCACCAACAUCAAAUAAUUAUUUUUAGUGAAGUUAUUUAUUUUAAGGAAAUAAUACCAGAAGCCUUCUUUUGGAAAUGAAUUUUCUAGGCUAUUCAGAUGGGAAAGGGGAGUGUGAACAAGUGUAGGAAGAAGUUUCUGUUACAUACUCGUAAAUAUUUAAUUUUCAGCAAGGGCUGAGUUUUAAACUUGUGCCUAGGCAUUGGGCUAAACACACUACAGUUAUUAAAAUGUAUCAUUUUUCCAGCCUCCAUAAUGUUCUAGUUUUACAGAUGAAAAAAUAGGUUUAUGGAAGAUAAAUAAUUUUCGAGAAUCCAUACAUCCAGUUAAGUAGGAAAAUAAGGAUUUUAAUAUGUGUUUUUAUAUUGGUAGGAUAUUUCAUUUUAAAAAAUGUAUUGGCGUAUAGUUGACUUACAGUGUUGUAUUAGUUCCAGGUGUACAGCAAAGUGAGUCAGUUAUGUAUAUACAUAUAUCCAUUCUUUUUCCCAUACAGGUUAUUACAGACUGUCGAGUGGAUCUCACUGUGCUGUGCAGCAGGUUCUUGUUAGUGAGCUGAUUACACAGGAGUGUGUAUAUGUUAUUACCAUCCUCCUAAUCCCCCCUGUCCCCCCUGUGAUGCCAUACGCUUGAUUUUGAAAUGUAUGAGUUUUGUUUCCAUUAUAUAAAAUUCUUCUGUAUCUGUUUUUAAGAUUUCAAUGCAAAUCUUACCUCUUUAAGAGCUUCUGCCUCUCUAUAGCAAACUCCAUAUAAUUAUUCAUAGUUUCAAAAACUUUCCAAAUCCUCAUAGUUAUCAUUAGAAGCAUAAAUUAUCAUCAUCAUAAUUAUUAUUUUAUUAUUAAAUAAUUAUUAAUAAAGUCUGUAAAAUUAAAUUUAUGUAUAGAAGGGAAAUUUCAUAAAUUAUACUUUGUUAAAAGAAAACCUUCAUCUUUUAAUGAGAUACUUUACCAGAUAUCCAAUUUAUGUAUUCUAUUCUUAGAGUAAAUACUUAUUUCCAAUAUUUUUUCUUACCUAAAAUUGUUAGCAAUUUUAAGAAUUGCUAUCUGGCAAAUAGUUACAGAAGAGUGAAGUCAGAAACUUGUAGGUUGGAAGUAGCAAGUCAGUUGAUUUUUUUUGGAUCUCAUCUUAGUUUCCACUUUAAAAAAACAUUCUAUUUUUAUUAUAAGACAAUGAUUCCAACCAGUAAGCUAGUCUCAAAGGAAAGUUAGCCAUGCUUAGAAAAGCAGGGUCAGAAUCAGAGUUGGAGUAGCUGUCAGGUGAAUACCUUUUCUGAGACUGACAGUUUCCAGUGAGGUGACGGAUAAUUUUAAAAAAGCAGUGGAAAAAAAAUAAGAAGUCUUACCAGUUCCCCUAGUUUUAGUAAUAAUACAUUUAUUAAAAUGCUUCUUUUUAAUAAAAAAAGCUAUGACGUUUCCGUUGCGUUGGCCUUCCCUUGUUUUCCAUGGAGACCCAUGGGUACAAUCCCAAGAGUUCCAGCUGCCUCAGCUGUACCCAGUUCUCUGCUUAGUUCCCACCAGACAUAGAAGCUGGAGAAAUGGGUGGAAGUGUCUGUCUCUGUUCUUAGUAGUCUCUCAUGAAAUUGUUGCAGGAAUUAAACAAGACAUAGUUUAAUGAUAAUUCAGUCAGUAAAGCUGCUCCCAUGCUCAGUGGUAUAAAGUAGAGAAUGUGGGUUGAGAGAGACACACACAGAGUUCCCAGGAGCCAGAGACCCCAAUCCACGGCUACCGGGAGGCACUGCAGUGUGGGAGCCCUUUGUAGCAGGUUCAGGCUGGGAAAAAGUAUAGAAUGAGUAUCCGUGUUUUCUUAGUGCCUUUGACAGCAUGAUCUGUUUUACAUUUGUUGCCCUAAACCCUUCACCGAACCCUUCUUGACAUGAUGGGAAACUGAUUCCUCGGGCUUUGCUCCUGAAUUUUACUCUCAGAAGGAUCUGGGGAGUGGAGUUAGGGAUGCUGACGGUGGGUUUGAAAUCUGCUAAGAGGGCAGUAGAUCCUCAGGGUUCUUAUCACACACUCAGAGGAGGGUAAGCUUGGGAGGUGGUGGCCGUGCGAACGAGCCGACUGUGUGAUCAUUUCUCAGGAAGACAGAGGUUAAAGCACUUCGUACAUCUCUGAAAAUGCACCCGUGCACCUCAGCGUGUGUGCACUUUUAUCAGUCUUGGAGGAAACCCGGAGAUGCCGAAACCCGGAAGGUGACGCACCACCUAGGGCAGCCCAGACCACCUCGCUGCUUCCGCCGGCAGCCCCUGCCCCCGAGCCGGGCGCACCUGGUCCCCGCACCCCAGCCCUUCCGGGCUCCCAGCUGCGGCCGCGUCAGUGUGGCCCUGAGACCGACUCUGACUGCAGACCCUCCCACGGUCCUGCCUCUGGCGUCCUCUGGGCCCCGUCGAGGGGACGCUUCUCUCGGUUGGGGUGACGCGUAAGCCGCACAGAGCAGCAGGGCGCAGCCACGGGGCGCCAGCUCUGCAGCAGGAGAGCGCUAGCCCGGGGGGUCCAGAGGGAGCCUACAAAGAGCAGGCGUCGCUGGGAUGUCCCAGCCCUCGAAGAGCCAACUCUCCCGUGUAAUUUCUCAGGAUGCCUCACCAGACAAAGGCAUUCGCUUCAGAGAGGGAAGCAGGAGGUUCGACCUGGAGAGGUCAAAGGAUGCGUCCUUGGGGGUGGAAGGGGGUCCCCAGAUGAGGCCUUGCAGCCAGCCUGAGGCCCGCGGGGGGAUUCGCACAGCAGAACUGCAGGAGAAAAGGUUAGCUGUGCGUCCGCGGGUGGAGGGUUUCUUAUGGAGAGUCUGCAGAUAAGUUAGGGAUAGACCCGUUACAGAAAACGAAGCAAUAAGCUUACCGGACCGAUACCCCCAAAGAAUGCUUAACUCUGGGGAACCAAAGAAGUUGUUAAGGAAAGUAAAGCAAUUAUAAUAUUGUACACAUGGUUAGAGUCAUAUUUAUAAAAACAUGGACGGAACCCCUGGGCCUGUGGAGGCAUCCUUUUAAGGGCUUCUUCCGCGCCUUGGGAAGCCGUCGGAGCAUUGCUUUUCCUGUAGAGGAAGGAAUGGCUCUAAAGAGCAAGGCCAAGAGACCGCAUUUACCUGCAUGCCAAGAAAAUUAUUUUGCAGAAUGUGCUCAGCCCAGCCAAUGAAAGAACACUGAUGCCAGUUGAACUCACUGCUCUGCCCAAUCUGUUACAUUGUGUGUGUGUGUGGGUAUGUGUGAAUAGGAAAAAGCUGUUACUGCCAAUAUCGCUGUGAAAACAUCCAAAUAGCGAAUAACUUGUUCUUUUAAAUCUGAGGGAUGAGUAAUUUGGGAAUAACACACUGUAGCAGUUACUGCUCUCCAAAGACCAGCAACACUGUUUGCCACUGAAUUUUCACUCUCCCCCCCCUUAGUCAUUUAUCCAAGACGUAGCUGUCUCUUUUUACGCUGAUGCUAAUAAUAGUCUCAGUCUGUCCAGACAACAUGCUGGCUCCUCGGAGGCCUCUCCCCAUCCUGGGUGAGCGCUUUGACCCACACCAGCCUCGGUCCCGCCAGGUCCUGCCGUCGCUUGGACACCUCUUCCUAGUGCUCUGCCUUCACCUGUUUUAGACACAGAAGAACAAUAAGCUACUCUUUUGAUUAAAACCCUGCAGUGAAUCACCGCCUCACUCAGAGUCAGCCCAGUGCCUUCACAGUAACCCACUGUGAUCUGUCCCCAAACGCAAGACACUGUCCCCCCCCACACCGAGCCUCUUCCCCACCUCCCUGUCUCGCUUCCCUGUCGGGCAGGCUCCACCUUCAGGGUUUACUCUGAUGAUCGCUCUCUGCUUGACUUGUGUUUUCCUCCCCGAUGCUUCGUUCCCUGAUCAACUCCAUGCUCCUCCUAGAGCCUCUGAUCUGACCUGGGAGCAUCCCCAGAUCAGCGGUGCUCGUGUGAACAAACAGCGGGGCUGUGGACGGUGGGAGGACCAGGGUCUCAGUGGGAGACUGUGCUUCAGUGCACGUGUUCUCAUUGUUAUUUUUUUAAUUUUAUUUAUUUACCUAUUUUUUUAUUUUAGGGGAUUUUUACUUUUUCCAUUAUAGCUGGUUUACAGUGUUCUGUCAAUUUUCAACUGUACCGCAAGGGGACCCCGUCACACACACACACAUACAUUCUUUUUCUCACUUUAUCCUCCAUCGUGUUCCAUCACAAGUGACUGGAUAUAGUUCCCAGUGCUCUGCUGCAGGAUGUUCUCAUUUUUAAAUUUUCCUGUAUAGACAGUCAACUUCCCGAUCCCACUCUGCUCCUUUUCUGUAUUUUGCACACUUUGCUGCUCAUGGUCUUUCUGAAUUUCCAUGCUCCAGGUAGAGGUCAAAACUAAAAGGUUUUCAGCAUGGCUCAGAUGAAAUUGUUUGGUUAAGCCCCAGUUUCCGGGGGGCAGAAAUCAAUGUGUUCACUGAAACCAAAGCUCCCCAAUAUCAGGGCAACACCACCAUGCGGUAAGGUCAGCUUAUCCUUUCCCAGUCCCGACAUGCCUUGGAGAAUGAUGGCCUGACACAGAGGCUAUUAUCUUUCCUUUAGGGAAGAUUUGCACAGAAACACUAAAAUAGAAUGCAGCGGACCAAAGAAGCCAACACACCUACUGCCCCAAGCAGAAUAAAUUAUAAAACUCCUGUUUUAUAGCUGUUUGAGAGCAUGAGAAGUGAGAAAUAGACAUACUGAAAUUUCACAGACAGAAAAAAUAUUUCUAGGUAAUCUGAUCACUUCUGGCCAUUUUCUUCCACGGGGGCAUAGCUGAUUCUGGCUAUGAGUUAAUGAGGAGGCUUAGCCU
rnacentral:lncRNA from 1 species